ensembl:rRNA 5S_rRNA 5S ribosomal RNA
GUCUACAACCAAACCGCCCUGAACGCUCCUGAUGUUGUCUGAUCUCAGAAGCAGGGUUAAGCCUGGUUAGUACUUGGAAGGGAGAAACACAACUAGUGACUGAAUACA